UGGGGGAACCCUGAUCUAGCGAUGCCGCGUGUGUGACGAAGGCCUUAGGGUCGUAAAGCACUUUCGCCAGAGAUGAUAAUGACAGUAUCUGGUAAAGAAACCCCGGCUAACUCCGUGCCAGCAGCCGCGGUAAUACGGAGGGGGUUAGCGUUGUUCGGAAUUACUGGGCGUAAAGCGUACGUAGGCGGAUUAGUAAGUUAGAGGUGAAAUCCCAGGGCUCAACCCUGGAACUGCCUUUAAUACUGCUAGUCUAGAGUUCGAGAGAGGUGAGUGGAAUUCCAAGUGUAGAGGUGAAAUUCGUAGAUAUUUGGAGGAACACCAGUGGCGAAGGCGGCUCACUGGCUCGAUACUGACGCUGAGGUACGAAAGUGUGGGGAGCAAACAGGAUUAGAUACCCUGGUAGUCCACACCGUAAACGAUGAAUGCCAGUCGUCGGGUAGUAUACUAUUCGGUGACACACCUAACGGAGUAAGCAUUCCGCCUGGGGAGUACGGUCGCAAGAUUAAAACUCAA
rnacentral:rRNA from 1 species